UGGCUCAGUGGAUAGAGCAUCAGUCUGCAGACUGAAGGUCCCGGGUUCGAUUCCGG
rnacentral:tRNA from 1 species